rnacentral:lncRNA from 1 species
UUCUCGGCAGCGCCGUAGAGCGCGAGCAGACGGUGCAGCAUGGCGCACAGCGGAGGCCGCGGGCGGCCGAACCCGGCGUGUCCUUGGGCGUUUCCAGGUGCGAAUCCUGCGGUCUGCUUAACCCCGUGUGUGCGGAGAGGGCUUCCUUGUUGGCGGCGUCCGUCUCUAGCCGGGUACGGGGGCCCCAUGGCUCCCGGGUUCGGUGUGGCCCUUGGCCCGCUGUGAGCGGCGGGGCGCGUUCCCAAUGGUCUCCAAAUCUUAACCGAGAUUAGUUAUAAGGCCUGCUCCUCUGGACGCUUCGAAGUGCGGGCACAAGCGGCCGCUUCUGGCGGCAGCUUUCAUCUGGGCCUGCACCCUGGCGGGAGCCCCUUUGUAUCCCCAAGAAAAGCCACCAUGCGGUCUGUUUCAGGCUUCCUAAGUGCAACAAAACCUGCUCAUUUGAAGGUGCUUGAACAAAUAUUUUCUAAACACUUGUCAUGGAGAGUGAUUGAAACAAGCUGCCAGGACUACAUUUGCCAAUAACAAGCAUGUAGGUGGCUGUAGUGGAUGUCCAACUUUGGGAGCUGUGAUGUCUAAAAACCCUUUAUUGUUUUGGGUGCAGCUUACAUAUUGGAAGGUAAAAUGAAGGCCAUGAACAAAGUCAAGAAGCCAUAAACAGAAGCAAAUGGUGAAAAUUAAUAUCUAAUUUAAUAUUAAUAAGUUAUAUAUAAAUAAACAGUUAUUCUUAAUUGC